CUGCCCACCUGUGAUGUCACAGUAAGGAGGGGCUUUUCUUCUGCAGACUCCUCCCUCGGUAUCUCCUUCAUCACCAUGGCAACAGCCUUAUCUGCAGCCCUAGAGCCUUUUCCCUACAACAGUGAAACCAACAACGAAUGUGUCAGGAGGCGUCUUGAAGACCAUGAAGAAACGAAGACUGGAAGGUAAAGCAGGAAGAACUACCAGUCAGACCAAAGCCACAAGCCCCGAGUCUGUUUCUAGCUACUAUGCUUGCUGGCUUUCUGCAGUGCUGUGAUUGGAAGCAGAAUCUGUCAAAACCAGAUCCACAGACUCAGCCAUGCUGCCUGUCAAUAUCGGCAUCCACAUUUGCAGUGAGGCCCUUUGCUGUACUAGUAGGUCCCACUGGACAUUUAGGAUUUAUACUGCCAUUUACUUCCUCCUUGGACAAAAGCCUAUGGAUUCCUGGCAGCCUGUUUGGAUAAACCCCCUUGUCAUAUAGGCCCAUGUCUGGGUGGAGUGAGAGCCAGGAUCUGUGCCCUAUAUCUGGCCUUAAGUUCAUGGCCUUUUCUCUGCCCCGACACAGUUAUGUUAAAAUCCUGGUCUUUUAAAAUGCCAUGGAAGUGAUUCAUUAGUAAAACUCCCUCUCUACACCUCA